rnacentral:rRNA from 1 species
CAUGUGGGGCAAGCGUUGUUCGGAAUUACUGGGCAUAAAGGGUGCGUAGGCGGCUUGUUAAGUCAGGGGUGAAAGUUUUCGGCCCAACCGGAAAAUUGCCUUUGAUACUGGCGAGCUUGAGUGCGUGAGGGGUAACCGGAACGAGUGGUGUAGCGGUGAAAUGCGUGGAUAUCACUCGGAAGGCCAAAGGCGAAGGCAGGUUACUGGUACGCAACUGACGCUGAUGCACGAAAGCGUGGGGAGCAAACAGGAUUAGAUACCCUGGUAGUCCACGCCGUAAACGAUGAGCACUAGGUAGGUGCCGAGCUAUUCGGUGCCUGCCGCAGGUAAUUUGGUAAGUGCUCCGCCUGGGGAGUAUGGUCGCAAGGCUG